rnacentral:rRNA from 1 species
GAUUAACGCUGGCGGCGUGCAUAACACAUGCAAGUCGAACGAUGGAACUCAUUAGAUUUCUUCGGAAUGAAAAUGAAUGGAUUAGUGGCGAACGGGUGAGUAACGCGUGAGUAACCUGCCUUACACAAGGGGAUAGCCUCUGGAAACGGAGAAUAAUACCCUAUGAAACCAGACAAUCGCAUGAUAAUCUGGUCAAAAUGUUUAGUGGUGUAAGAUGGACUUGCGUCUGAUUAGCUAGUUGGUGAGAUAAAAGCUCACCAAGGCAACGAUCAGUAGCCGGCUUGAGAGAGUGUACGGCCACAUUGGGACUGAGACACGGCCCAGACUCCUACGGGAGGCAGCAGUGGGGAAUUUUGCACAAUGGGGGAAACCCUGAUGCAGCGACGCCGCGUGAUUUAGAAGGCCUUCGGGUUGUAAAAAUCUUUUGUAUAGGAAGAAAAUGACAGUACUAUACGAAUAAGGUCCGGCUAAUUACGUG